rnacentral:rRNA from 1 species
CCUACGGGGGGCUGCAGUGGGGAAUAUUGCACAAUGGGGGAAACCCUGAUGCAGCGACGCCGCGUGAAGGAAGAAGGUCUUCGGACCGUAAACUUCUAUCAGCAGGGAAGAAGGAAGUGACGGUACCUGACUAAGAAGCCCCGGCUAACUACGUGCCAGCAGCCGCGGUAAUACGUAGGGGGCAAGCGUUAUCCGGAAUCACUGGAUGUAAAGGGUGCGUAGGCGGUAGGGCAAGUCAGAUGUGAAAGCCCGGAGCUCAACUCCGGGAUUGCAUUUGAAACUGUCUUACUAGAGUGCAGGGGAGGAAGGCGAAAUUCCUAGGUAGGGGGUAAAAGGCGUAGAGUUAAGGAAGAAAACAAGAGGCAGCGGGGGCUUUCUGGUUUUAAACUAACGCUGAGGCACCAAAGGGGGUGGAGCGAACUAGUUGAUUCACCUUAGGAGUC